rnacentral:rRNA from 1 species
AAACAGGUUAAUAUUCCUGUACUUGGUGUUACUGCGAAGGGGGGACGGAGAAGGCUAUGUUGGCCGGGCGACGGUUGUCCCGGUUUAAGCGUGUAGGCUGGUUUUCCAGGCAAAUCCGGAAAACCAAGGCUGAGGCGUGAUGACGAGGCACUACGGUGCUGAAGCGACAAAUGCCCUGCUUCCAGGAAAAGCCUCUAAGCAUCAGGUAACAUCAAAUCGUACCCCAAACCGACACAGGUGGUCAGGUAGAGAAUACCAAGGCGCUUGAGAGAACUCGGGUGAAGGAACUAGGCAAAAUGGUGCCGUAACUUCGGGAGAAGGCACGCUGAUAUGUAGGUGAAGCGACUUGCUCGUGGAGCUGAAAUCAGUCGAAGAUACCAGCUGGCUGCAACUGUUUAUUAAAAACACAGCACUGUGCAAACACGAAAGUGGACGUAUACGGUGUGACGCCUGCCCGGUGCCGGAAGGUUAAUUGAUGGGGUUAGCGGCAACGCGAAGCUCUUGAUCGAAGCCCCGGUAAACGGCGGCCGUAACUAUAACGGUCCUAAGGUAGCGAAAUUCCUUGUCGGGUAAGUUCCGACCUGCACGAAUGGCGUAAUGAUGGCCAGGCUGUCUCCACCCGAGACUCAGUGAAAUUGAACUCGCUGUGAAGAUGCAGUGUACCCGCGGCAAGACGGAAAGACCCCGUGAACCUUUACUAUAGCUUGACACUGAACAUUGAGCCUUGAUGUGUAGGAUAGGUGGGAGGCUUUGAAGUGUGGACGCCAGUCUGCAUGGAGCCGACCUUGAAAUACCACCCUUUAAUGUUUGAUGUUCUAACGUUGGCCCGUAAUCCGGGUUGCGGACAGUGUCUGGUGGGUAGUUUGACUGGGGCGGUCUCCUCCUAAAGAGUAACGGAGGAGCACGAAGGUUGGCUAAUCCUGGUCGGACAUCAGGAGGUUAGUGCAAUGGCAUAAGCCAGCUUGACUGCGAGCGUGACGGCGCGAGCAGGUGCGAAAGCAGGUCAUAGUGAUCCGGUGGUUCUGAAUGGAAGGGCCAUCGCUCAACGGAUAAAAGGUACUCCGGGGAUAACAGGCUGAUACCGCCCAAGAGUUCAUAUCGACGGCGGUGUUUGGCACCUCGAUGUCGGCUCAUCACAUCCUGGGGCUGAAGUAGGUCCCAAGGGUAUGGCUGUUCGCCAUUUAAAGUGGUACGCGAGCUGGGUUUAGAACGUCGUGAGACAGUUCGGUCCCUAUCUGCCGUGGGCGCUGGAGAACUGAGGGGGGCUGCUCCUAGUACGAGAGGACCGGAGUGGACGCAUCACUGGUGUUCGGGUUGUCAUGCCAAUGGCACUGCCCGGUAGCUAAAUGCGGAAGAGAUAAGUGCUGAAAGCAU